AUACAGAGGGUGCGAGCGUUAAUCGGAAUUACUGGGCGUAAAGCGCGCGUAGGCGGCUUAUUAAGUCAGAUGUGAAAUCCCCGGGCUCAACCUGGGAACUGCAUCUGAUACUGGUAAGCUAGAGUUUGGGAGAGGGAAGUAGAAUUUCAGGUGUAGCGGUGAAAUGCAUAGAGAUCUGAAGGAAUACCAGUGGCGAAGGCGACUUCCUGGCCUAAAACUGACGCUGAGGUGCGAAAGCGUGGGUAGCAAACGGGAUUAGAAACCCCUGUAGUCC
rnacentral:rRNA from 1 species